rnacentral:lncRNA from 1 species
CCCCCAUCUUGGGGUUGGACCCCCAUGGGACCCCCAUUCUGAAGGUGGGACCCAUUUGGGUGUUGGGACCCCCAUGGACCCCCUUCUUGAAAGGUUGGGACCCCCGUCUUGGGGUUGGGACCCCCAUGGGACCCCCAUUUCUGCAAGGUGGCGCGAACCCCAUCUUGGGGUUGGGACCCCCAUGGGACCCCCAUUCUGAAGGUGGGACCCCCAUCUUGGGGUUGGGACCCCCAUGGGACCCCCAUUCUGAAGGUGGGACCCCCAUCUUGGGGUUGGGACCCCCCCCCCCUUGGGGACAUGGUGACGUUGGGACCCCAAUCUUGGGGUUGGGACCCCCCCCCCCUUGGGGACAAGGUGACCCCAAGACCCCCAUUGUGGACCUGGGACCCCCACCAUGGGGUCGUGGUGAUGUUGGGACCCCCACCCUGGGGACACCAUGGGACUGGGACCCCCAUCAUGGGGACAAGGUGACCCCCAAGACCCCCAUCCUGGACCUGGGACCCCCAUCAUGGGGACAUGGUGAUGUUGGGACCCCCAUCCUGGACCUGAGACCCCCAUCAUGGGGACAUGGUGAUGUUGGGACCCCUCCCCUUGGGGACAAGGUGACCCCCAAGACCCCCAUCCUGGAGCCAAGACCCCCCACCUUGGGGCCACCAUGGAGUAAAGACCCCAACCCUGGGGAUGUGGUGACACCGAGACCCCCAUCCUGGGCUCACCACGGGACCGGGACCCCCACCCUGGGCUCAGGGUGA